CACCCCGCGGGCCACCCGGCUCCCCCGGGGCUCCUGCCCCAUGCCCGGUGUGCCUGGGGCCAGCAGGGUGCCCGUGGGGCCAGCAGGGUGCCCGUGGGGCCAGCAGACACUGGGCUCUGGGGCUGAGCACGGGGUUCUGUCACUGCAGAAGGGCACGUUUGCUGUCACAGGGAGUCAACAGAGCCAGGUGCCCGGGAGCCUUGUGCUGACAUGCCAAGGUGCUGCUGGUGGUUGCUGCUUCCAGGUGCUGCCCCUCCCAUUAUGAACACCCCAGGAGGCAUCUGCUCCUCCACUGGAUGCAGCCCAAGUGCUCCAGUGGUUGGAUCUGUCUCCUUUCUGUCACGUAUGCUCCCAUCAGCUUCUAUCCUGUGUUUAUCCUGAAUUUUGGAAAGAGUUAAUUACCUUGCUAGGAUGCUGAGCUCCAGCCACUGCCCACACCGGGUGUUCUCUUGGUGCCAACCAUCAUUUUGCAGGAAGAAAUGUCUGGAUUCUGUCAGUGCAACAGCUAUCCACCUUUCCAAUUCUCCUUUCCCACUGCAAGCUCUUGGAUGGAGACCAAAAGCUUCCAGGCCCAGCCCCUGUGUGCUGCCUGUGUGUACGACCAAGAUACAGCUGCCUCUCAGUUCUGCAUGGAGACUCCCAGCUAUUCCCACAGGACUGGCUGAAUUUCCCAGGCCAUGUGCUGGAGCAGAUGCGAGCUGCUUGCACAGAAAGGAGCGGAGCUGGCUGGAUUUGGAUCUUCACAGGAGCAGGCCCACAGGGAGCAAAGGCACUGGUUGCUGCCAGUGGCUGUCAACGAGGAGCACUUCAUGCAAUUCCCAUCUGCUGCUCCGCUAAAUGUCAUGGUCCAGGAAUGCAGCUACUGCUCAGGCAGUUGCCAGCUGGCCACAGCAACUGCAGGUGUGUAUCUUUUUAUUUGUUUAUAUAUGUAAAUCGAGUCCAAAGUCUCAAACGAUUAAGUCAUGCGAUGCAAGGCAUGUGACAGUGGUUAAUAGUGAAGGGCAGACAAGGGUGACAGGAGGAAAGCAUUUCAAAGUGGCAGCUGUGAGGUAAAUCAUACCGGAAUUGGGUAACCUGGAUUUAGGGGAGAGGUUGGAAAGGAAGGGCGUAGCACUGGGAGAGGAGCUCUUUCUUUUUUUUUCUCUGUGGAGGGCCCUGAUACUCAGGCUUGGGCCCUGAUUUUUGUUCUACAUCUGGUACUGCAGUGCUGAUGUGCACCCACCAGCCUCAUCAGAGAGGGGCCUGACCGACACCUAGAGAAGCUACAAGGUACUGGGGCUGGCUGCAGGUUUUGGGAUAUGCUCUUGGUACUAGAGGCGGCUCUCUCUCUUCCCUCUCCUUCUUCCAAUUCCUCUCCCUCUCCCUCCCUCUCUCCUUUUCCUGGGCUCUCUGUGGCACAUGAGACAGGGUAGAGAGAUGAAUGAAAUGGGCUGAUGGAUGGAAGGAACUCUGCUGGACUCACGCUGGAUCACACGGGAUGUGGAAGAUGCCCAGUUGAAUGGCAACUGGAUCUGACCCUGUAAUUACCACUGCCACCACGUGUCUGAGCUGCAGCUGAGUGCACAAACAAAGCACUUGCCCAUGCACUGACUGUUCUUCACAUUAAGUGUUCCUGGGUCCUGGUCUUUUAGAAAAAAAUAUAAAACUUGGUCUGAUCCUCCUGGAGCUGAGUAGGGACCUCUGUACGGACUUCAGGAGAGCUGUACCCUGACACACAACCAGCCCCGUGGCAGACAUCAAAUGAUGUUGUUCCCCAGCAGUCUGCUGAUGUUAUCACCCUGUCUUUGAGGAGUGAGAACAACAAGAUCCUACAAUGACAAACCACAGUGUUUGUUGUGGUACCAGACAGGUAAAAAAAAAAAAAAAGAAACCUUCCCAAAUAAUUACCAAAAAAGAGUACAUUUCAUGUCUCAUGUCCUUUGUGUUUUUCACGGACCAAGUACCUUACAGACAAUUCGCUCAUGAUCUGCCAUACAAAGGGGACAAGGGACCAUCAUGGAACACAGACAUAAACCAACUGGAGAGGAGAACACCACGAUUACAGGGGAAUCAUUAUCUUACACAUAAAACUCUAAAUCAGUGCCACAUUUCAGGCUCACAAUUCCAGGGAACAAGGAAAAGCUUAUUUUACAUUAAGUUUCUGCUGGUGGCUGCUUUCACCCAGAGACUAAAUGUUGUUUAAAGCACUGCCACAUAGAAAGCUCUGCAACAGCCAGAAGUUGUUUCACCUUCACCCCCUGUUGGCUUGAUAGGAAUGAAGGAUUUGCAUUUUUCCUACAAGUAUUUUUCUUCUAGGUAUAAGGCUACUACAAAACCAGCACAACGAAUUAGGUUUGAGUCUCUGAUAAGCAGGAGUGUCAAAUAUUACAGGCUGUUGGGGCUUUGGGUUUUGUUUGUUUGUUUUUCUUCAAAUUUAUCAAAUUCUCUGAGGUUCUGAGUCUAUAAUAAACCA